rnacentral:rRNA from 1 species
GAGCGGCGACGGGUGAGUAACACGUGGGUGAUCUGCCCUGCACUCUGGGAUAAGCUUGGGAAACUGGGUCUAAUACCGGAUAUGACCGCAUGAUGCAUGUGUUGUGGUGGAAAGAUUUAUCGGUGCAGGAUGGGCCCGCGGCCUAUCAGCUUGUUGGUGGGGUAAUGGCCUACCAAGGCGACGACGGGUAGCCGACCUGAGAGGGUGACCGGCCACACUGGGACUGAGACACGGCCCAGACUCCUACGGGAGGCAGCAGUGGGGAAUAUUGCACAAUGGGCGGAAGCCUGAUGCAGCGACGCCGCGUGAGGGAUGAAGGCCUUCGGGUUGUAAACCUCUUUCAGCAGGGACGAAGCGUGAGUGACGGUACCUGCAGAAGAAGCACCGGCUAACUACGUGCCAGCAGCCGCGGUAAUACGUAGGGUGCGAGCGUUGUCCGGAAUUACUGGGCGUAAAGAGUUCGUAGGCGGUUUGUCGCGUCGUUUGUGAAAACCCGGGGCUCAACUUCGGGCUUGCAGGCGAUACGGGCAGACUUGAGUGUUUCAGGGGAGACUGGAAUUCCUGGUGUAGCGGUGAAAUGCGCAGAUAUCAGGAGGAACACCGGUGGCGAAGGCGGGUCUCUGGGAAACAACUGACGCUGAGGAACGAAAGCGUGGGUAGCAAACAGGAUUAGAUACCCUGGUAGUCCACGCCGUAAACGGUGGGCGCUAGGUGUGGGUUCCUUCCACGGGAUCUGUGCCGUAGCUAACGCAUUAAGCGCCCCGCCUGGGGAGUACGGCCGCACGCUAAAACUCAAAGGAAUUGACGGG